rnacentral:rRNA from 1 species
UGCAGAAUCCCGCGAACCAUCGAGUCUUUGAACGCAAGUUGCGCCCGAGGCCACCCGGUCGAGGGCACGCCUGCCUGGGCGUCACGCCAAAACACGCUCCCACCCCCCCUCGUGGGGAGCAGGACGCGGCUUAUGGCUCCCCGUGCCUUUGGGCGCGGUUGGCCGAAGAUCGGGCUGCCGGCGUAUCGUGCCGGGCACAGCGCGUGGUGGGCGAUCUCGCUUUACUCAGCGCAGCGCUGCGGGUGCGUAGCCGGUGUAAUGGCCUCCAAGGACCCCCAAAAACGGAGUGCGCGUCGCUCCGACCGCGACCCCAGGUCAGGCGGGACUACCCGCUGAGUUUAAGCAUAUAAAUAAGCGGAGGAGAAGAAACUUACAAGGAUUCCCCUAGUAACGGCGAGCGAACCGGGAGCAGCCCAGCUUGAGAAUCGGGCGGCCGUGCCGUCCGA